rnacentral:rRNA from 1 species
GACGAACGCUGGCGGCGUGCUUAACACAUGCAAGUCGAACGGAAAGGCCCUGCUUUUGUGGGGUGCUCGAGUGGCGAACGGGUGAGUAACACGUGAGUAACCUGCCCUUGACUUUGGGAUAACUUCAGGAAACUGGGGCUAAUACCGGAUAGGAGCUCCUGCUGCAUGGUGGGGGUUGGAAAGUUUCGGCGGUUGGGGAUGGACUCGCGGCUUAUCAGCUUGUUGGUGGGGUAGUGGCUUACCAAGGCUUUGACGGGUAGCCGGCCUGAGAGGGUGACCGGCCACAUUGGGACUGAGAUACGGCCCAGACUCCUACGGGAGGCAGCGGUGGGGAAUAUUGCACAAUGGGCGGAAGCAUGAUGCAGCAACGCCGCGUGCGGGAUGACGGCCAUCGGGUAGUAAACCGAUUUCGCCUGUGACGAGGCGUGAGUGACGGUAAUGGGUAAAGAAGCACCGGCUAACUACGUG